UGGCCUAGUGGCUCAGUUGGUUAGAGCGCCGCCCUGUCACGGCGGAGGUCGUCGGUUCGAGUCCGAUCUGGGUCGU
rnacentral:tRNA from 3 species